CAACACUGCUAAUAAUCACUGCUCAUUAAAAUUAUUCUUCUCUCCAUUCACUCCCAAUAUACACCCAAUAAACACUAUUAUGCCUCGCACAAGCUCUCGAUAAUAUAUUUUAUAUAGCUGUUCAUGGACACCGAUGAAUGAUAAUAGAACAAAUCGAAGAUAUACGCUUUGAUUUGUUUCACACCAGUUUUGAUCUGCUGAGAAUGAUAGACGCCAAGAAGAUUUUUGAAUAUAAUCGACUGUGAUUUCUUUGAUUAAAUAUGGCUGCCGAACUUUUAAUCCUUGAUUACAUAACUUUCUCUUAUAUUUAAAGAUAAAUUAAGGAAGUAAGCACUUAUAAUUUCGCUAUAAUAAGUUGCUUAGCGAAAAAAGAAACAGCCAUUUACUAGGGGAAACUCUUUUUAUCUAUAUGGAGAAUGAACAUAGGUUUUGAUUUCAUUCUAUCUUUCUUCGAAUUUUUAUGUAAGUUUUAAUAUAUUUUUUUUACUUUAUGUAAUCUAUCAAGAACGAAAGUUAUGAAUUGUAAACAUUACGUCUAUAAGAUAAGAUCGAUGUCUUGAAAAUUCAAUAAAAUUGACCACAUUGUACAUUUGUAUAUACAAGCUAAUAUGUAUCCAAAUAUAAUGAUCAAAUGUGUGGGCAUGUGUAAAUA